AUACGUAGGGGGCGAGCGUUGUCCGGAAUUACUGGGUGUAAAGGGCGUGUAGGCGGGGAUGCAAGUUAUCGGUAAAAACCCGGGGCUUAACCUCGGGCUUGCCGGUAAAACUGUGUCUCUUGAGUAUAGGAGAGGGAAGUGGAAUUCCCGGAGUAGCGGUGAAAUGCGUAGAUACCGGGAAGAACACCAGUGGCGAAGGCGACUUCCUGGCCUGUUACUGACGCUGAGGCGCGAAAGCUAGGGUAGCGAACGGGAUUAGAUACCCCGGUAGUCCUAGCUGUAAACGAUGGUCACUAGGUGUGGGUGGUGGUCAAGCCAUCCGUGCCGGAGCUAACGCAAUAAGUGACCCACCUGGGGAGUACGGCCGCAAGGUUGAA
rnacentral:rRNA from 1 species